rnacentral:rRNA from 1 species
CCUACGGGUGGCAGCAGUGAGGAAUAUUGGUCAAUGGACGCAAGUCUGAACCAGCCAUGCCGCGUGCAGGAAGACGGCUUUAUGAGUUGUAAACUGCUUUUGUACGAGGGUAAACGCAGAUACGCGUAUCUGUCGGAAAGUAUCGUACGAAUAAGGAUCGGCUAACUCCGUGCCAGAAGCCGCGGUAAUACGGAGGAUUCAAGCGUUACCCGGAUUUAUUGGGUUUAAGGGGUGCGUAGGCGGUCGGAUAAGUUAGAGGUGAAAUCCCGGGGCUCAACUUGGGAACUGCAUCUGAGACUGUGCGGCUAGAGUGUGGUUGCGGUAGGGAGAAUGUAAGGUGUAGCGGUGAAAGGCUUAGAGAU